GAUAAUUAGAAUAGCUGUGAUACUUUAAUUGAGCUGCUAAUACCAGUGCAGGGAUGUUGCAUAAAAGCCUGGUGGCUGGCAGCUUCUCCUUUAGCCCUGCUGAUUGAGUUUGGUUCCUGUAUAUUUGUUGAACUUUGCCUUGCUGCAGUGGCAAUCCUUUUUACUUACUGAAUCCUUGUAGCAGCUUCUUGAAGCUUAUCAAAAUGAGGGGACAUCAGGUUCACUGAAUCCAUCGUUUCCUUCAUCUGAGGUUAUACUGAAAUCAUAGAAUCAGAACAUCCUAAAGGUUGGAAGAGGUCCAUAAGGAUCAUCGAGUCCAUCUCCUGGCCCACCACAGGACCACCCAAAGACCAGACCAUAUGGCAGGCAGCACUGAAAAUGACUGUCCUCAGCCAACUGCUCAGUGCAACCUCUAUGGAGGCCUUCUUUCUUGAGCAUUUUUCUUCGAAAGGCUUUGCGAUAGUAUGAAAAGUUGGAGGCUGAGAUCUUCAGCGUUCGAAUCAAACAGAUGUUAAUGGUUUUUCACUUUCCCGGAAGAUCUGGCUUUUAACACGUUUUGGUUACUGGAACUGUUUUCAAGGAGAACGUCACGCCAGGAGCCUCCAGAGUGCUCUGUGUUUGUUACCAAGCUUUUGCAACUGUACUGAUUUGAAGGAUGACGUGGUGUUUGCUCGUGGUCCCAAUUAGAGGCUCUUUAGAGCAAAAUCCAGAGCAAUUUCUGGAUGUCGUUGACCAUGAUAGCUGAUUUUCUAAUCAUGGCUAAGCUGCUCUUCGUUCUGAAGUGAGCAUUGUUGCACCCUGACUGAAGCUGUGUUGCUCUGCAAAGGUGCUACCAGAGGGCAGCCACAGCGAGGCUGGGACAGAGGGCCGAUCAAAUGCUGCUCCUGCACUUCUGUCUCUGUCCCUAAACAGUGCCCCUCUCAAUGUCUUACAGCUACGGAUUUGGUAUCAGCUCAGAUGACUGGAAAUAGCUGCUGUUUUUUCCCAAUGUCCAGAUGUGCUGGUUUUUUUUUUAAACAUCGAAUUGUGCUUUAAAAACGUGGUCAUAUGACAGAGAUUACAGUUGUUAAGUAUUCACGUAUCAAGGAUUUCUAUUUUUGAAGAGGCAAACAACUCCAUUAUGGUUUGCAAUCUAUAUAUAAGAACUUACAGUGAAAAGCACGUACCAGAAAUAACCAAGAUGGGCUGAACCUUUAAGUUCCAUACUAUUUUCCUGAGCAAUGAGAAUAUUUUAUGAAACCUAAAGGAAUCUGCUUCCUGAAAAACCUCCCUCUGAAACAGCCCUGAGCUGCCCUGAUGGCCGGGGAAGCAGAACAAGAGUUUGGAUGCUUUGGAGCCCUCCUGUUAGAGGAAAUAGAUUUUUGAUGGGGGAUUGAAAUAGAUUUUUAAUGGGGGAAAAGGCUGCCACAAACAUAAGGCUGAAAGGGGGUAAAAUGGCACGUGUGUCCGUGCACGGAAUUAUUGGCAGUUAUUGAAGGGAAGAUGUACCACAGUUUGGAGCUUUUAGAGUAUUUAAGGCUUAUGUCAUAAGGAUGCCUGGAGCACUACAGUAAUUGAAGUAUUCAAAUCUGCUGAAUGAAUACCAGCUAAACCGUUUUCUUUAGAUAACAUGACUUGAAGCUGCAGAACUGUCAGUGUAUCUCAUAUGCUGCAAUUGUUUGCCUUUUAUUUGUGUGUGAUUCACUACUUUUACUAAUUGUUAGAGCUGUAACGCAUCAGUAUCAUUAAUAACUAAUGACAGCAUGAUCUCACUACAUCUGCAACUAACAGGGUCACUUGGCGUGUCAGCUGUGUCACAGCCCCCAUCAGCACUGGGAUGUGGUGCUCCCAGCAGUCCCCAUUCUCCUUCCUGAUGCUGUACGCAUGCCAGGUCUGAGGAUACAGGCUAACAAAUUGGGUUUUAAGCUCCUUUUGAUUGCAGCGUUGCACGCUGCUCCCAGAUCUGCAGGACUGAGCAUGAAACCAGGUCCG
ensembl:lncRNA